UUCGCAAUGCCCGAAAGGGUGACGAAGCGACGCCGCGUGUGGGAAGAAGGCCUUCGGGUUGUAAACCACUGUCGGGAGUUAGGAAGUGCAGGAGCGUUAAUAGCGUUCUUGCUUGACUAAGGCUCCAGAGGAAGCCACGGCUAACUCUGUGCCAGCAGCCGCGGUAAUACAGAGGCGGCAAGCGUUGUUCGGAAUUAUUGGGCGUAAAGAGCACGUAGGCGGCCUUGCAAGUCAGUUGUGAAAGCCUUCCGCUCAACGGAAGAAUGCCAGCUGAUACUACAGGGCUUGAGUACGGGAGGGGAGAGUGGAACUUCUGGUGGAGCGGUGAAAUGCGUAGAUAUCAGAAGGAACGCCGGCGGCGAAAGCGACUCUCUGGACCGAAACUGACGCUGAGUGUGCGAAAGCUAGGGGAGCAAACGGGAUUAGAUACCCCGGUAGUCCCAGCCGUAAACGAUGGGCACUAAUGAGGGGGGUUUU
rnacentral:rRNA from 1 species